CGGAAGUGCGUCGCGGUGAAAGUGCUUUAUCCCUUACAAUGGCGGCUCGGUGAGGAAUAGAGUCGUAGAGAUGAGGAGCUGAAUGCAAUCCGCCUUCAUCGGCUUAAUGAGUUUGCAGAGUUGAAGGCCCAGGCCUAAUCCCCAUCCUCCCAGUUUCCUGGAUCUGGAUCGCAGGGAGGGGGGUGACCUGACCUGAUGGUGGAGGGUCUGCUGCACGGGUAUGAUAUGCCACAAGACAAAUAUUGAGGACUUAAUGAAUUUAACAAAGUUAACUGGGAAGGAACUUCAGUUUGUGAAACUCCCAGUAACAAUGACUUCAUCUAGGAUUCAGAAAUGUGCUGGAUUGGAGUACUUUGAAAUCAGAAUGCACUUCCAGAAACUGCAUCAAUUUCUAAACUUCCACACUGAAAUUUGAAUGUGAAAUGUAAUUUUUCCAGCAUUUUGCCUUCAUUGUUUUGACUUGGCAUAUGCAACAGGUGAAAGAAUGAACAAUCCUGUUUCAGCUGUAUGUUAAAUAAAGCAUUUAAUGUUCAA